UGAAAAGUAGUUAACAGCUAAAUUGAUAUGUUCAAGUGAAGACAUGUUUAAAAUUGUUUGAGGUAUGGGUCCAGACAUCUUGUUCCGACCAAUUCCCAAUUCUUUCAACUGAUGAAGGUUACCAAUAGAUUGGGAAAUAAAACCACUGAAAUUGUUAACGCCAAGAUACAAAUAUUCAAGUUGUGAUAAGUCCCCUAACGCUGCAGGAAUCCCCCCUUCAAACUCGUUAUAGCUGAUAUGAAGAAUCUUUAAUCGGCGCAACCGAAAUAACUCUGUAGGAAGCUGACCACCGAAGCUAUUGUUUUUGAGGUCAAGUAUAACAAGAAAGGACAGAUUCCCCAAGUUUGGGGAAACGGUACCUCUAAGACACAUAUUUAGGAGAAUCAAACUGUGGACUCUACCGUGUCGCUCAUCACAAGUUACACCAACCCAAUUGCAUACAGAAGAGGAAGUUGACCAAUUAUUAGCCAACACAUCAUAAGGGUCUGAAGUAAUUAGGGAUUUGAAAGCUAGAAGAGCAGAUUGAUCAGUUGUGAUGUUUUUUGUAUUUGCAGCUAAGCAAGCAAUAAAACAACAAUGCAAUGAAAGCGAUAAAAGAAAGAGAUGAGAUGAUAGAUCAACCAUUUUCCCGUAAUGUGUGUGAAUAAUUGAUGAGGCAAGGGACUGAAGGAAUGAUACAUAUAUAUUAACGUGUAUUUCACUUCACUCCCCACUAUUUGUUGGUGGGUUGUGUGGUUGAAGUCAACCGGGUCAACAAAGAUAGAUAUUAAAAUGAUUGUUGUCUUUGACGAAAAUACGAUACGACCAGGAAGCAACUAUAGAUGAAGGGAUUUCCACUUAUUCUUAAAAUAAUAAUAUUAAAGACGAAGGGCAAAUGAAAAGAAUCCCUUAAAGUUAAGUUUCUAUUUUAAAGUCAAUCAACGACAAAAAGGGGAGGAAAUAAAGAAGCAAAUGGGUAACAUACUUUUGCAGGAUUUUAAUUAAUAAUUAACUAAACAUGUUACAUGUGUAUUACAAUUAGUCCCACAUCGGGGAGUUUAAAAACAAUAGUCAGGAGUGGUGGUUAUAAAAGAAAAUCGCUUGUGUGAAUGCAUAGUACGCUACAGUUGUAAAUGACUACAUAUUAUUUUCUUCUUUGUAGUCUUAAAAUAAACAUGUUCUAUAGUUUUAUCUUAGUUCUUUUGUUUUUUUUUUAAAUAAAGUAAAUGGUCAAGAUAUGGCCUUUUGACAAAAACAAAAAAACUUUCGAAUUAUGUUACUUGAACAACGGGUUGAACCUACCGAGCCGAACUGAGUUUUUCGUGAACUUUAAAUGAGCCGAACUCAAGUUAAAAAAAGGGUUUGCAUCGAACUUGAGUCGACUUUCGAGCCGAACCAAUUCUUAUCGAGUCGAGCUCAGACAAAUUCGGUUCGACUCGACUCAUUUCCAACACUAGUUGGCGGGUUGUGUGGUUCAAGUCAACCAGGUCAACAAAGAUAGAUAUUGAAAUGAUUAUUGUCUUUGACGAAAAUACGAUACAACCAGGAAGCAACUAUAGAUGAAGGGAUUUCCACUUAUUCUUAAAAUAAUAAUGUUAAAGAGGAAGGGCAAAUGCAAAGAAUUCCUUAAAGGACAAGAGUAUAGCAUACGAUAAUAUGUUUUAUUAUUAUUUUUAUCAUUUAGUCUAAUGACUUUUUUUUUUUUUUUAGAGCAAAUAAAUUAUAUCAUUUCAUUAAAAAUCAAUUCGGAAAUACAUGCUGGAAUAUCAUCAAAGACCUGGAAGCUAGUACUACAUGUGGUUGCCUUAGCUAAAGCAUGUGCAACCUCAUUUGCUUACCUCCUAAUAAACUCGACAUGAGAGUUUGUUAAAUAUUCAUUACAGAAGCUUAAACUACUAUCCAUAAUGGAGCCAAACUCGGUGAUAUCUCCACGACCUUUGUUGAAAUAAUCAGCUACUCUUUUUGAGUCAACCUCGAAAUCAACAUUUGAGAGUUGAAGUUCAUGAAUCCACCGAAUCGCAUGAUUUAAAGCCAGGGCUCCCCAACAUCGACAGAGUAGGUCGGAGUGAACCACAUGAUUUUAGAACGGACAUGGUUCCCAUCCGAGUCUCGGAUACACAUACCAAAACCUACCUUGUUUGUUGUGGUGGGAAAGGAGGCAUCAAUAUUACACUUAUAUCUGCCUCUUGUUGGUUUCUCCCAUUUGAAAUUGGCAUCGACGUUGAAUUUUGAAGAGCUCGGAGCGGAGGCUGAAGUGUUUGAGUUUAUGUGCACUUGCUUGCGGUUUGCAUUCCUCCUCCCUUCAAGAAGAUGCUUUGCUCUUUCCAGAAUGGUAAUAUUUGAAUCAGACACUUGUUGCCAUAACUUGAGAUUUCUAGCUUUUCAGAUGCUCCACAUGAGAGUGACAUUUAUCUCAAUUUGAGUUGCUGACAACCUUUGCAACAAGUUAAAAAUAAUAUAAGGGGCAUUGUCAAAUUGGUUUAGUGAUGGAGAGAUUAAAUGCCACAAAUUAGUUGUCUGCCAAAUAUCAACUGCACUUGGGCAAUGAAAGAGAAUAUGAUAGUUGUAACGCUCUCUUUAAUUAUUUGAUUAUUUUAAUAAGUUUAGAAUAUACUUAUAUGAUUUGUAUGAUUUAUUUUGAUGAGUGGUAUUUUGUUAUGUUAUAUGUUGAUAUUUAUUAGUAUAAUAUAUAUAUAUGAUUUGUUUUAGAAAUAUAUAUUUGUUAUUGUUAAUUGUUAUAGAAAUAUUUUAUAAUAUAUAUAUAUAUAUAUAUUAGAAUAGAAUAUUAAGAUUUGGAUAUAAGAGAAAAAUAAGUAGGUUAAGGAUUUUUAUAAAAGGGGAGAGCUAGAAUAUUUUGCAACACAAUCUGAAAUAUUUUGGUAGGCAAUCUAAUAUAUUUUAGUGCAUGCUUUGAAAUAUAUUUUGAUACUUAAUAAUAUAUUUUUGUACUGAAUAAUGUAUUUUUGUACUUAAUAUAAUAUAUUUUAGUACUCAAUUGAGAUAUUUAAGUACUAGAUCUAAUAGGUGCAUUACUUGUUUCCAGUUGUAAACUAUCCCUAUAAAUAGAGAACUCACAAAGUGCAUUCUACACACCGAAAUUCACAGUUGAUGCUUCCUGUACUUUUCUUGUCUUCUCCCUCUUUUGAUUUGUGUUGACGAGUCUUUCUUCUUUUUUUUACUCCUUUCUGUCCCUUCGGAAUUAAAAGUGUUCUUAAGACCAUAAUCCCUCUUCGGUUUAAUAUCCUUUUAGAGAAGAGAAAGCGGUAGAGUCCUUCGAAGAUCAAUCCAAGGUAAGGGUGGGACUAACAUUCAAUAAUCUUAUGUCAUUGAUUCUGAAAAUUGGAUUUAAUAUGUUGUAAGUUUUAGUUUUGAGAAUUUGGGAAUUAGGNUAUUAUUGUUAUUUUCAUUAUGUUAAAAAUUCAAACUUUAUAAUCUCAAACUCUCAUCUAAUCAUUAUUUAAAGUUAAUUGAAUUCAUAACUUCCUGUCGGAACGAUACUCUUUUAUUACUACUUCGAUAAGACCGUGCACUUGCGGUUUUAUCCCAUCAAGUUUUUGGCGCCGCUGCCGUGGAGUUAUUGUAAUUUGAUUAAUUUUUUUUAGUGGUUAGACUGAAUUUUUUUUAAAUAAAAAAAUAUAUAUUCUUUUUCUUUUUUGCCUUCAACUUUUGGAGUUUUUUAUUCUUGAGUGCGAAGAACCAUAAGUCUUGGAGAAUUCGUUUCUGAGAUUGAAAUGUUCUUCGUGAAAGAAGAUGCAACACACAUAAUAAUAACAAUAUGGCUGAGGAGCGCACUCUCAAAUAGUAUGCAAUCCCAUCUUCAUAUGAGUUAUACGCUGUUAUUGUGUACCCAACAAUUGAGGACAAUUUUGAAAUAAAACCUGCACUUAUUUAUUUAGUGCAGCAAAAUCAAUUUUUCGGAUCUCCUACUGAGGAACCUUGAAGACUCAGUGGAACCUACGGACAAUUUUCGGAUCACCUACGGACAAUUUUAAGACUCAGUGGAACCUUGAAGGCAAACCAAGAGGCUGUAAGGCUGCACCUCUUUCUUUUUUCCUUAAGUGAUAGAGCUAGUGCUUGGUUUCAUUCAUUGACAAUUGGUUCUAUCACUUCAUGGGACCAAAUGAGGCUAGCUUUCCUUGCCCAAUACUGUCCCCUUUCAAAAACCGCUCAAUUAAGGGCGGGGCUUUUUCAAUUCACUCAAAAAGAUGGGGAAUCUCUUUACGAUGCGUGAGACCGUUUCAAAGAAAUGCUCAGGCUUUGCCCUCAUCAUGGUUUAGAGAAGUGGCUUAUUAUCCACACCUUUCGUAAUGGUCUUUUGUAUACCACAAAAAUUUAUGUUGAUGCAGCUGCAGGUGGAGCUUUGAUGAAUAAAACUUACACAGCAGCAUAUGAUUUGAUCGAGGGCAUGGCACAAAACCACUAUCAGUGGACAAGUGAGAGAGUCAUAAUCCGCUUCAUCACCCUUCCCACACAAAAAUUCCCUCAAAAAAAUUUCACCAAUUUUUUUUUACCCAAACCCCAUCAUUAAACCAACCCUUCCCACACAAAACCUUUUCCAAACCUAACCUCCACCCAAACCCCCACCAAGUCAAAUUUAUGUCAAUGACAUCCAAGAGAAAAAUUAAGGAGAUUGAAGGCCCCGGAAGCGGUGCAAGAAGAAAACAAUCAAUAGUCCGAAAUCAUGGGAUCCAAUUCAAGAAUCCCGAGCAAAAGAAUAGGUAUAAAUCUCAAAUCUCUAGAACUAUCUCUUCCGGCAGGUACCCUGAUGAUUAAUGCUUUGGAUAGACUAGGAAUAGAGGAACAUAUGAUUAGGUUGUUGAAUAACACAACCUUGUACUUAGGUACUUUCAAAGGGUUAUGGCUUGCACCAUAUAGGAUAGGAAAGAAGUAGGAAUGAUGAGGACUGUUGAGCUGUAUAUGUUGUGGGUUAUGCUUUAUAACCACCCUGUUAACAUUUGCUAUUAUUCGCUUAUUAUCUUGUUUCAAUUGCUCGAAAGAAACCGGAUGAUAAAGGUGAUAUAGUGGUAGGGGGAAUCAUCACUUAUCUUUUUAUAACAGUAAAAACAAUUGUAAGACAUAAAAGUUAUAUUAAUAGUUAAUGUGGUAGGAGAAUUUAGAAAUGAAGGACAAAAAUCCAUAAAUCAAACAAAAAAGGGGAGAAAAACUAGCCAAUUAAUGUACAUAUAGUUUAUUAUUUAUUUUUAUAUAACAGUAAAAACAAUUGUAAGACAUAAAAGUUAUAUUAAUAGAAAAAAUUUGUAUCAAAAAAUAAUUUAAUAGAAAAAUUUACUUAUAAAUGUUGAUAGAUCUUUGUUAGAAAGUUUUAUAAUGGACCCGUUUGUUAUUACUUUUUUGAAAAUAGAUUUUAGUAGUGUAAUAUAUUUGUUACGCUUUUUUUAACAAAGAAAUUUUUUCGGAAAGCUUCAAAUGAAAAAUUUCUUUCAAUAACUUAUCUUAAAAUGUAAUUCUAAAAAUUUUAUCAUUUUUGUUGAAAUUUUUUAUGAUAAUAAAAUUGUGAAAAAAUGUCUAAAAAAAAAAGCUAUUUUAAAUUGAUUUUCAUAAAAACCAUUUUUAAAGAUGUCAUUUUGAAAAAAUAUGUGAUUUAGUUAGUGUUUGAUAAUCACAUGCUAUUGUUUCAUUUGUAUAUAAUAAUUUGAUGUAUUACAAUAAUUUCAUAUUUUGUGAAUGAUAGGUCAAUUGUGUAACCAUGCUUUUUUAUAAUUUGGAGGAAUAUGAAUAGCUAACUAUGGUUAUAUUGAAUAGAUGAGAUUGCAAGAUGCACAGAAAUUAUAAAUCCAAUUCUAAUCACAUUAGAUAUCAAAUAUGUUAUGAAUGUGAAGCAGAUAGCAAAGGUGCAUAUAAUAAUAAUAUAUACUUCACAAUCACAACAAUCCAAAUUAUAUAGGAAAACAUAUAUUAUAACUUUGAUUUGGCCCCAUCUUAACACUCAAUACAGCCUAAAAAUGAUUCACAUGUGUUAACAAAUUGUGUAUGGGAUUAAAUUUAAAUUGAGGAAUCAAUUACUAUGUUGUUAACAGGAAUGAUGUUUGCGUGUUUUUAUGAUUAAGGUUGUCAAGGGGCUAUGUGGAAGGAACUGUGGGAGUAAAUAUAUUUAUCAGCUGUCUUGCUUGAAGGAUGGAUCAUUUAUGCUUUAUGUAUUGGAGAUUAAAUUAGCACAUAUAUGCUAUAAUCUGGAUGUUUUAGGGGAAUUUUGAUAUUGGCUUAUUUACAUUUGUGAAAAAACAGGUCUUGCUGCAAAAUAGGAUGGUCAUGCCGAGAGGACUAUCCAGUCCUUAGAAGAUUUAUUGAGAGAAUGUGUUCUAAAGCAAGGGACAUGGGAUGACACAUAUUUAGUUGUUUGAAAAUGAGUUUCCUACGCCAUGAUUAAUGAGAUCAUGUUUAUUAUUUAAAAAUUUAUAUAAAAAAUACAAAUAUUUGUAAAAUAUUACAUAAAAUACAUGAGACUCAUUAACGCCGUCUUUAUUAUUAAUGAGAUAUAUCUUUAUUAUUUGUAAUACUAUGACAUAUUUUUAGUCUAACAUAUUAUAAUAUUUAAGCCAAAUACCAUAUUUGGUCCUUUUAGUUUGACAUAAUUUUCAAGUUAGUCCUUUAAGUUUCAAAAGUUUCAAAUAGAUCCUUUUAGUUUGACCGAAUUCCUAAGUUAGUCCUUUAAAUUUCAAAAGUUUCACAUAUGUCAUUUUACUUGAUAAACUAUUUCAUCGUUACACCUGCUGUCAGUUAAUAAUUAAUUGAUGUUGAUGUAACCGUUAAGUUGUUAAAUUGGAUAAAAACGAUGCAUUUUAAAAGUUUCGGGUGUCAAAACGUUAAGUUUAAUGGUCACAAACAUCAAUUUAGCACUAUAAAUGUCGUUUAAUAGUGCUAGAAAUGUAUUUGUUGGUGUAAAUAGUUGUCUUUCUGGCACUAUAAAUUAUCAUUUGUGAUUAUUAAAAGUUGCUUUUUACACCAUGGAGCUUUUAAAAGGUAACAUUUUGAUCCAAGUCAACAACUUAACGACUACAUCAGCAUCAGUUAAACGGAUACUGACGGCAGGGGUAACAGUGAAAUAGUUUAUCAACUAAAAUGAAAUAUUUGAAACUUUUGAAAUUUAAAGGACUAACUUGAGAAUUCUGUCAAAUUAAAAAGACCUAAUUUGAAACUUUCAAAACUUAAAGGACUAACUUGGAAAUUCUAUCAAACUAAAAGAAUCAAUUGUGUUAUUUGACCUAAUAUUUAUUAAUAACCAUUUCAAUAUUUUUAUAUCUAACAUCAACUUAUCAUUAAUCUUUUAUUAUUUUUCAAUGCAGAUGACAUUGUUAAUACUAUAACGCAUGAUUUGGGCUUCGACGCUUUACCCGUGCGGAGUUUAUUACGAUUUUUAUAAAAUGGUCAUAUGUAACCGCUGUUAGUGUGGAACGGGAGGAGUAACAAAUGAAUCCUAUAUUAAUAUUCUAAAAUCACAGAUAGUGGGAAAAAAAUAUAACACAUUAUAUCAAAAAGUACGAGUACCUGAAAAGUAGUUAACAGCUAAAUUGAUAUGUUCAAGUGAAGACAUGUUUAAAAUUGUUUGAGGUAUGGGUCCAGACAUCUUGUUCUGACCAAUUUCCAAUUCUUUCAACUGAUGAAGGUUACCAAUAGAUUGGGAAAUAAAACCACUGAAAUUGUUAACGCCAAGAUACAAAUAUUCAAGUUGUGAUAAGUCCCCUAACGCUGCAGGAAUCCCCCCUUCAAACUCGUUAUAGCUGAUAUGAAGAAUCUUUAAUCGGCGCAACCGACAUAACUCUGUAGGAAGCUGACCACCGAAGCUAUUGUUUUUGAGGUCAAGUAUAACAAGAAAGGACAGAUUCCCCAAGUUUGGGGAAACGGUACCUCUAAGACNNNN
rnacentral:lncRNA from 1 species